rnacentral:rRNA from 1 species
UACAGAGGGUGCGAGCGUUGUUCGGAAUUACUGGGCGUAAAGGGCGCGUAGGCGGCUCGGUAAGUAGGGGGUGAAAUCCUGCGGCUUAACCGCAGGGCUGCCUUCUAAACUGUCGAGCUUGAGCACGGUAGAGGCAGAUGGAAUUCCCGGUGUAGCGGUGGAAUGCGUAGAGAUCGGGAAGAACAUCAGUGGCGAAGGCGGUCUGCUGGGCCGUUGCUGACGCUGAGGCGCGACAGCGUGGGGAGCAAACAGG